GACGAGGCACUACGGUGCUGAAGCAACAAAUGCCCUGCUUCCAGGAAAAGCCUCUAAGCAUCAGGUAACAUCAAAUCGUACCCCAAACCGACACAGGUGGUCAGGUAGAGAAUACCAAGGCGCUUGAGAGAACUCGGGUGAAGGAACUAGGCAAAAUGGUGCCGUAACUUCGGGAGAAGGCACGCUGACACGUAGGUGAAGUGAUUUACUCAUGGAGCUGAAGUCAGUCGAAGAUACCAGCUGGCUGCAACUGUUUAUUAAAAACACAGCACUGUGCAAACACGAAAGUGGACGUAUACGGUGUGACGCCUGCCCGGUGCCGGAAGGUUAAUUGAUGGGGUCAGCGCAAGCGAAGCUCCUGAUCGAAGCCCCGGUAAACGGCGGCCGUAACUAUAACGGUCCUAAGGUAGCGAAAUUCCUUGUCGGGUAAGUUCCGACCUGCACGAAUGGCGUAAUGAUGGCCAGGCUGUCUCCACCCGAGACUCAGUGAAAUUGAACUCGCUGUGAAGAUGCAGUGUACCCGCGGCAAGACGGAAAGACCCCGUGAACCUUUACUAUAGCUUGACACUGAACAUUGAGCCUUGAUGUGUAGGAUAGGUGGGAGGCUUUGAAGUGUGGACGCCAGUCUGCAUGGAGCCGACCUUGAAAUACCACCCUUUAAUGUUUGAUGUUCUAACGUGGACCCGUAAUCCGGGUUGCGGACAGUGUCUGGUGGGUAGUUUGACUGGGGCGGUCUCCUCCUAAAGAGUAACGGAGGAGCACGAAGGUUGGCUAAUCCUGGUCGGACAUCAGGAGGUUAGUGCAAUGGCAUAAGCCAGCUUGACUGCGAGCGUGACGGCGCGAGCAGGUGCGAAAGCAGGUCAUAGUGAUCCGGUGGUUCUGAAUGGAAGGGCCAUCGCUCAACGGAUAAAAGGUACUCCGGGGAUAACAGGCUGAUACCGCCCAAGAGUUCAUAUCGACGGCGGUGUUUGGCACCUCGAUGUCGGCUCAUCACAUCCUGGGGCUGAAGUAGGUCCCAAGGGUAUGGCUGUUCGCCAUUUAAAGUGGUACGCGAGCUGGGUUUAGAACGUCGUGAGACAGUUCGGUCCCUAUCUGCCGUGGGCGCUGGAGAACUGAGGGGGGCUGCUCCUAGUACGAGAGGACCGGAGUGGACGCAUCACUGGUGUUCGGGUUGUCAUGCCAAUGGCACUGCCCGGUAGCUAAAUGCGGAAGAGAUAAGUGCUGAAAGCAUCUAAGCACGAAACUUGCCCCGAGAUGAGUUCUCCCUGAGACUUUAAGUCUCCUGAAGGAACGUUGAAGACGACGACGUUGAUAGGCCGGGUGUGUAAGCGCAGCGAUGCGUUGAGCUAACCGGUACUAAUGAACCGUGAGGCUUAACCUUACAACGCCGAAG
rnacentral:rRNA from 1 species